AUUGAACGCUGGCGGCAUGCCUUACACAUGCAAGUCGAACGGCAGCACGGGUGCUUGCACCUGGUGGCGAGUGGCGAACGGGUGAGUAAUACAUAGGAACAUGUCCUGUAGUGGGGGAUAGCCCGGCGAAAGCCGGAUUAAUACCGCAUACGAUCCACGGAUGAAAGCGGGGGACCUUCGGGCUUCGCGCUUUAGGGUUGGCCGAUGGCUGAUUCGCUAGUGGGUGGGGUAAAGGCCUACCAAGGCGACGGUCAGUAGCUGGUCUGAGAGGACGACCAGCCACACUGGGACUGAGACACGGCCCAGACUCCUACGGGAGGCAGCAGUGGGGAAUUUUGGACAAUGGGCGAAAGCCUGAUCCAGCAAUGCCGCGUGUGUGAAGAAGGCCUUCGGGUUGUAAAGCACUUUUGGCCGGAAAGAAAUCCUUGACUCUAAUACAGUCGGGGGAUGACGGUACCGGAAGAAUAAGCACCGGCUAACUACGUG
rnacentral:rRNA from 1 species